GUGCAGCAGUCGCGAAAACUUUACAAUGUGCGAAAGCACGAUAAGGGAACUCUGAGUGCCUCCUAAGGAGGCUGUUCAGGUGUCUAAAAGCACCUGAAGGAAGGGCUGGGUAAGACCGGUGCCAGCCGCCGCGGUAACACCGGCGGCCCAAGUGGUAGCCACGUUUAUUGGGUCUAAAGCGUCCGUAGCCGGCUGGGUAAGUUCCUUGGGAAAUUUGGCUGCUUAACAGUCAAGCUUUCAGGGAAUACUGCCCGGCUUGGGACCGGGAGAGGUCAGAGGUACUCCAGGGGUAGGGUGAAAUUCAUUAAUCCUUGGGGGACCACCGGUAGCGAAGGCGUCUGACCAGACCGGGUCCGACGGUGAGGGACGAAGGCUAGGGGCGCGAACCGGAUUAGAUA
rnacentral:rRNA from 1 species